AGUUUUUCUCUGUUCCUCCUGGUUUUGAGGAUUGACAGUUUUGCUUGGCCCAGUAGAUAAUUUCCCAGCACACACUUGUUUCUCUGGGAUAGAUAGAUAGAUAGAUAGAUA